rnacentral:misc_RNA from 1 species
CGCACAUUGCGCCCAUUAGUAUUCUAGUGGGCAUGCCUGUUCGAGCGUCAUUUCAACCCUUAAGCCCCUGUUGCUUAGCGUUGGGAGCCUACAGAAAACCCUUCUGUAGUUCCUUAAAGUUAGUGGCGGAGUCGGUUUCACACUCUAGACGUAGUAAUUUUUAUCUCGCCUAUAGAUGAACCGGUCCCCUGCCGUAAAACCCCCUAAUUUUUAAAGGUUGACCUCGGAUCAGGUAGGAAUACCCGCUGAACUUAA